CUUCCCGUCAUUAGAGGUCCUGCCUGCCCAGUGACACUAAGUUAAACGGCCGCGGUAUUUUGACCGUGCAAAGGUAGCGCAAUCACUUGUCUUUUAAAUGAAGACCCGUAUGAAUGGCAAGACGAGGGCUUAACUGUCUCCUUUUUCCAGUCAAUGAAAUUGAUCUUCCCGUGCAGAAGCGGGAAUACGCCCAUAAGACGAGAAGACCCUGUGGAGCUUGAGACAAUAGAACCGCCCACGUCAAUCACUGCAAAAUAAAGCCAAACAAACUAAUUGGUUUCUGUUCUAAUGUUUUCGGUUGGGGCGACCAUGGGGAACAACAAAACCCCCACGUGGACUGGGAACAACCUCCACACUCCUCCAAAUCAGAGGGACACCUCUAAUUACCAGAACUUCUGACCUUAAAUGAUCCGGCAAUGCCGAUCAACGAACUAAGUUACCCCAGGGAUAACAGCGCAAUCCCCUUUUAGAGCCCAUAUCGACAAGGGGGUUUACGACCUCGAUGUUGGAUCAGGACAUCCUAGUGGUGCAGCAGCUACUAAGGGUUCGUUUGUUCAACGAUUAAAGUCCUAGAGUGAUCUGAUUUCAGACCGGGGGAAGGG
rnacentral:rRNA from 1 species